AUUACUGCCAGUAGUGAAUUUUGCAGUUGGCGUUCAGGACAUAGCUCUUCAAUCAAGGGAAGCAAAUAACCUUCUUGGUAUGUUGAAGGAGCCAUCGAGUCCUGCAAUGAGUUGUUCAAAUUUCAGAAGGUGUUCUUCCGCGGCAGAAUCCACGCCUGGCACCAGUUCGCAGAAUAUUGGCGUGACCAUAGGAGGAUGUCCUUGGUCCCUUGAGGGCUUUGUGGAGCGACGGUGAUGCGGUAUGUGGCACCAGAGAGAGCAGGGAGGUGUGCAUUUUCAUCCAAAGGGAAGUGUGGAAAUUUAUCGGCUAUCGAGCAUGCCAAGGCGCGCGAGGUUAUUAGGGAUCCGGCCUCUGAGUGGAAAGGAAGGCGUGGCACUAUCGCAAUUAGGGUGCCAACCGGCACCUGCAUCCAUCCACAAAAUCCAAAAUCACAGCAAAGGGUGUUAUGGAAUCACAUUGGAAUUAAAGCAGGCUUAAUGAAAACUUCAGUCCAGCAUCCCGCGCCAGUUGCCACCUUAACCGCAAUGCUUGUGGCCUGAUUGAUCAGCAUGGCUUCAUUAUUAUUUUUUUGCCUGUGUAGAAAUUAGUAGAAUCAUGUUUCUUCAUAGAGAGUAUUCAGAACAUGUAGAAGCUCGAUGGGCGAUGAUCCCAUUCCUCAUAGAAUCGGAGGUUGUAUUUCUGUACAGUGUUGUGACUAUGAUUUUGUUCCUUAACGAACGAAAUCAUAAUUUAUUGUAUAGCCUGUGUAAAUUGGUAGAAUUAUGUUUCUUCAUAAAGUAAAUUCGUUCCUCUGCGAAUCCGAGGUUGUACUUU